UAAGAACAUAUGAGCCUCUUCUACAAUUUUAGCCCAUAGGUUACAACGGAAAGCCCCAUAUCCUUACUCUUACAUAUCAAGAACCACUGUUCGUGCUUAUUUAUAGUAAUGGACUUAAAUACUAUCACACUUCAGCAAACGUUGCAUAAAAAGUUAAGGCAGUCAAUAAAAAGGCUAUCAAUAAAUUUGCAUUUUAAAUGGCCAUAUAUUUUUCAUCAAGUUUUAUAAAACUGGAGACACUGAGUAAAAAAAUUAAUUCAGGGGCAUCUCAACAUCUCUGAAGUUUAAAAUGAGCUGAUUCAAUAGUCUCAACCAAGAUAACCUCUGCCUGUAGUAAAAUGACCUUCUGUACUCACGGACUUCCAAUGUAUAUCAGCAAACCAAGACCCUCCUCUAAACUCUAUAAUCAGUAGUGCUUACUCUGCAUGUGAAUGGCAAACUUAACAUAUUCCAACCAAACUCAUUUUCUCUGCCCCUAAAAGCCUGGUCCUCUCCCAAGCAAUCACCACCACAAAAGUUACAGUACUACCAUUCACCCACCAGUUGCAGAAAUUAGGGCUCAUCUUUGACAUCCUCUUUCUUGUCUCCCUCCGUAUCUAAUCUAUCACCAACCCCCGUGGUUUUACUUGUGAGACAUCAUCUGAAUCAAUCUACUUCUCUAACCAGCAUCACCUACCACUUUCCAAGCUUCAUCUUUCAACAUCUCUAAAGAAUGCGCCUCCAGCUCUUUCUCAGACAUCUUCUCUUCUAACAUUUAAGUUUUUCCUCCAUGGCAGCCACACAUGCAUGCACACCCGUGCGCACACACACACAUGCUCUCUCUUUCUCUCUGCCCAUCUCUCUAUCUCCACCUCCCCAUCACCUCCUCAAGAAAGGCAUCUCAAUACUUUUAGGAUAAAGACCAUAAUCCUUUAAGUCCCUAUCUGAUUACAUCUUCAGUUAAACCCAGUAUCACUGUUCCCUUACUGUCUGUAUUUGGGCCACAUUGGUCCCUUUCUAGUUCCCUAAAAGCACAUGCUCACCACCACCACCUGACCUCUCUUUGCCUAGAGCUGAUCCAUCAUCAACUCUGCCUCUUCAACUCCUACUCAACAUAUAAUUCUCAAUUAAAUGAUUCUUCCUUAAGUAAGUUUUCUGGGCAUCUCUUAGACCAGGGCAAGUCCUCUCAUUUUGUAGUAUGAAAGUAUUCUAUCCUUUCAUAGCAGUUAUCCAUUUAUAACUAGAAACUUAUAUGUAUGAUUAUACAUAAUAUCUCUCUUCCCUGCUACUUGUAAAACUUCUUCAGCGCAGGGUUUAUAUGUAGUUUUGCUUACCCUUGUUUCCCCAGGGUCUAUCAAUGUGCUUGGCACAUAAUUGCACUUAAAAAUAUCUAUUAACUACUAAAGGAGAAAAGGGUGAAAGCGAAGAUAAGUUUGUAUGUCCUUGUAGUCUUUGUCAUAUUCAUUCUUCUUCUUCCAUUUAAAGAAUUCAGUCACCACCCAAUAAUCUCUGUCAAGUCAUUAACCAGAAUAAAUAUGUGAUCCUCAUGGUUAUAGCUCCAAUCUAAUACUUUUAAUAAAAUAUUUGACACAUUCAAAAUAAGAAAGCCCUUGAACAUUAUUUAAUGCAUAAUUUCAGCUUUCAGGAGAUCUAUAAUAAGCCAUUCUAAAUAAUUACCUACAAUCUUUUCAUACUUCUACAGCCUCAAGUCACAGAAACAAAAGAAAUAAAGAGACCUCACAAUGGGUCCUUUAAUAAGUCUCUGGCAGAAUUUUUUGCAAAUUCUUUUAGAAAGUAUGCCUAUUAUAUAUUUUUUAAAUCUUUAAAGAGAAUUCUAUAACUUUAAUUAAUGGCCCUUCAGGCAGCACUCAUCAUCUUUAAAAACAUUCAUUAGGCAACUAUUUUGAAUAAUAAUAAGUGACUCAAGGAGACAUAGUUAGUCCACUUGAAUACUUGAGGAAUAAGAAAAGCAAAUAUAAUAAAGGCAAAAAAUUAAAGGACAGGUAGACAAAAACUAAACAAAUAUAUGAUGAAAGAUACAUAAUUUACUCAACAAAUCACUUGUUGAAUGAUAAGUCACUCAAGUUGUAUAUCUUAGGAUAAUAACAGAUUUAUGACGAGUCAAAGUGUUGACAAUGUAAAGAGAAGUUAUUUAAGGAAAGAAUGAGCAGAACAGAGACAGGCAGAGGACUCUGAUGGCAAAGUAAAGAUAGUGUGGAGGCCAGGAAGUGAUGUAAUAGUCCAGGUAGAAGGUGGCUGGGGACUGGGAGAAUGUGGUAUGGGCAUUCCACAGGGAUGAGGAGGAAGGAGUAGAAAACAUGGAAACAAAGUACAAUGUGAGAAACAAUCUAUAAAAAGUGAGAGGUAAAUAGAAUGACAUCAGCAAGAUGGUGGAAUAGGAACUCUCUGGCUCCACCGUUUUCUACAGAAAUCCAAUUUGCAACUAUUCAGAGACAAGAAUACCUUGAUGAAUAUCCCAGAACAUGGGAGUGAGGCUGAAACAACCCCUUGGACCACAGACAAAGAACAGCUACAAUUGAAGUAACCUAUGAUUGAAGGACAUUCAGAAGAAUGGUCCUGAUCACCAUCUUAUGACAAUGAAUAACAUUAGCCUUGCAAUGAAGCCAAUAUUCCAAAAGGCAAAGAAAAGAGACAGAAAACCUCAGGAUCUCUGGCAGCAUUAAGUCCUGCUCCUGCCUCAUCUAAAGGUGUAUGUCGCUGUAUCCUCAGGUUAAAUAAACCAAUAAAUUAUAUGUGUUUAAAUCCAUUUGCAUUGGGUUUUCUGUUAUUUGUACAUAGACUAUUCUCAACCAACACAUGGUAUUCAUUCAUACAACGCUUUACCACCCCACUAUGUUCUACAAGAAAAUGAUUUGAUCUCAAACAUAUACUCUUUGAACUUGAAACAACAGCCACAGCCUCAAAAAAAAAAAAAAAGGCUUCUGGGGACUUAGAAAUAUCAAUGUAUUUUAUCAAAAUAGCAAGAAAAGUAAAAACCAAUCCUUGGGUUACUCAGAAUUCUUUUAUAUUUUCUACUACAAAUCAAAUUUCUCCAUAAAGGCCAAUAAUUCAGGAAUGCAAAUAUUCAUCAAACUAAAAUUUUUUUUAAAAAAAACCAGCUCAGCCACUGACUAAAACAGGAGUUUGAAGGGUCAGUCAGCAUUCAAUCCUUGAAAUUCAUUUGGCUUGUCUAUCAUCAGAAUGAACGGAAGUGACUUUUUAAGAGCCCUUCCAACCCUCAAGUUCUGUAUGUUCCCGAGUUUUCUCCUUUGUCUCUUUCUUACCUUCUCUAAACAGUCAGCACAAUACCUAUCAAGCAAUGGAGUAGGAUGACUCUUAGCAACAAUAUCAAACUGUUCCAACCAAGAAUUACGUCUCCCAUAAUCUGUCUGAAGUAUCAGUAUACCUCAACACUAUGCGGAAAUACUACAGAGUAGAUGACACUAAAGGAGUUCCUUUACUCCUUUGUACAAAGGUACAAAGUAAUUCUACAAAGGUAGAAUUACUACCUUUGUAAUUCCUUCUAUUGCUAAGUAGGAAACCAGAACAAAAUUCAAAUUCCAAAGGAAAGACAUCUACAAAUUAAAUAAUCCUACAAUAACUGAGGAAAUAAUAUUAUCUGUAGUAUCAACCUACUUUGUCUUUUACAUACAUGCAUAUAUACACCAACAUACACACGUGAGAGGCACUGUUACACAGACACAGGAAUUCUGAAAUGCUCUAACUUAAAAUCAUUCUCAUUUUAAGCACAGAAAACCACCAAGACUUUCUCAUUCCUUUACAUCUUCCCCCAUAUUAAGGAACCCAGCAUGAAGGAGAGGAAGCUGUUUAUAAGAAAUUAUU
rnacentral:lncRNA from 1 species